rnacentral:rRNA from 1 species
UGAAUACGAGACGCUACGGCGUCGAAGCAGUCUAUGUCAUACUUCCAAGAAAAGCUUGCACUGUCAUAAACAAAUAAUGCCUGUACCAUAACCGACACAGGUGGGUAGGUAGAGUAUACUAAGGGGCGCGAGAUAACUCUCUCUAAGGAACUCGGCAAAAUGACUCCGUAACUUCGGGAGAAGGAGUGCCUUAUUUAUAAGGUUGCAAUAACAAGAUCCAAGCAACUGUUUAUCAAAAACACAGGUCUCCGCUAAGUCGUAAGACGAUGUAUGGGGGCUGACGCCUGCCCAGUGCCAGAAGGUCAAAGAAGUUGGUUAGCAUUAGCGAAGCUGAUAACUGAAGCCCUGGUGAACGGCGGCCGUAACUAUAACGGUCCUAAGGUAGCGAAAUUCCUUGUCGGGUAAGUUCCGACCCGCACGAAAGGCGUAAUGAUUUGGAUACUGUCUCGGAGAGGGGCUCGGUGAAAUAGACUUGUCUGUGAAGAUGCGGACUACCUGCACCUGGACAGAAAGACCCUAUGAAGCUUUACUGUAACCUGAAAUUGAAAUUGGACUUUAUUUGCGCAGUAUAGGUGGGAGGCGUUGAGAAUAUUCUUGCGGGAAUAUUGGAGCCAUCAGUGAGAUACCACUCUUGUAAUGUUAGAUUUCUAACUUUGAAUCAUUAUCUGGUCAAAGAACAGUUUCAGGCGGGCAGUUUGACUGGGGCGGUCGCCUCCUAAAUGGUAACGGAGGCGCACAAAGGUUUCCUCUGAACGGGUAGAAAUCGUAUCUAGAGUGUAAAGGCAUAAGGAAGCUUGACUGUGAGACCUACAAGUCGAGCAGGGACGAAAGUCGGUCUUAGUGAUCUGACGGUGCUGAGUGGAAAGGCCGUCACUCAACGGAUAAAAGUUACUCUAGGAUAACAGGCUGAUCUCCCCCAAGAGUUCACAUCGACGGGGAGGUUUGGCACCUCGAUGUCGGCUCAUCGCAUCCUGGGGCGGUAGUACGUCCCAAGGGUUGGGCUGUUCGCCCAUGAAAGCGGUACGCGAGCUGGGUUCAGAACGUCGUGAGACAGUUCGGUCCAUAUCCGGUGUAGGCGUUAGAAUAUUGAGAGGAGCCUUCUUUAGUACGAGAGGACCGAGAAGGACAUACCUCUGGUGUACCAGUUAUCGUGCCAACGGUAAACGCUGGGUAGCUAUGUAUGGAGAGGAUAACCGCUGAAAGCAUCUAAGUGGGAAGCCCACCUCAAGAUAAG